rnacentral:rRNA from 1 species
AGUGAACGCUGGCGGUAGGCCUAACACAUGCAAGUCGAACGGCAGCACAGUAAGAGCUUGCUCUUACGGGUGGCGAGUGGCGGACGGGUGAGGAAUACAUCGGAAUCUACUUUUUCGUGGGGGAUAACGUAGGGAAACUUACGCUAAUACCGCAUACGACCUACGGGUGAAAGCAGGGGAUCUUCGGACCUUGCGCGAAUGAAUGAGCCGAUGUCGGGUUAGCUAGUUGGCGGGGUAAAGGCCCACCAAGGCGACGAUCCGUAGCUGGUCUGAGAGGAUGAUCGGCCACACUGGAAGGGAGACACGGUCCAGACUACUACGGGAGGCAGCAGUGGGGAAUAUGGGACAAUGGGCGCAAGCCUGAUCCAGCCAUACCGCGUGGGUGAAGAAGGCCUUCGGGUUGUAAAGCCCUUUUGUUGGGAAAGAAAAGCAGCAGGUUAAUACCCCGCUGUUCUGACGGUACCCAAAGAAUAAGCACCGGCUAACUUCGUG